rnacentral:rRNA from 1 species
UACGGAGGAUGCGAGCGUUAUCCGGAUUUAUUGGGUUUAAAGGGUGCGUAGGCGGGCUUUUAAGUCAGCGGUAAAAAUUCGGGGCUCAACCCCGUCCGGCCGUUGAAACUGGGGGUCUUGAGUGGGCGAGAAGAAGGCGGAAUGCGUGGUGUAGCGGUGAAAUGCAUAGAUAUCACGCAGAACCCCGAUUGCGAAGGCAGCCUUCCGGCGCCCUACUGACGCUGAGGCACGAAAGCGUGGGUAUCGAACAGG